UGACAGUGAGACAGUACACAGGCUCCCUUUUCAGACUGGUGUCACAGGGCCUACGUGGACAGCGUGGGGUUAUAAAAGAGGAGAGGCAUGCCUGGAAUCUCCACUGGCGUCUGCAGAGACUAAAAUAGACCCAGUGCCUUCUCAAUAACAGAAAUAGAAUGUGCCUAGGAACAGCAGAACUGAGACACAGAAAACUCACUUGGCUUGAUCUAAGGAAAUAAAGCCAGGCCCAAGGGCCAGAGCCAAGGCUCAAAGGGCAUCUAGGUUUCUUUCCCUUCCCCUCCU
rnacentral:lncRNA from 1 species